UCCUUCAUGAUCACAUCAGCAUCAAGGACCUAUAUUCUCUCUCAGAGUGUAAGUUAGCUUUGUUAUUUUUCAUGCUUCAUAUGUUCCUGCAAUCUUCCUACUUCUAUCAUGUCUACUGUAAUUACACAUCAACUAGAAUGUUUGACCCCUUGACAAAUACAUUGAUAUUCAGUAUCUAUUAUCCUUCAGUAAUAAUGGGAUUGCAUGCUAGUUGAUUUUAAAAUGGCUCUUCAGUUUUAUCAAAAUUAAUUACUCUAAUUUACUAGUGACAGUAUGAUAGUGGCCACACAUUUUUCUUGGGGUGUUAAAAUGAAAUAGCAGUUUUCACGUCUUGAAAUGGAACCCGUGUCUGCUAUCUGAUCGUAGAUUCCAUUUCACUGAGAAUCUUGAACUGAUGGGAGCAAGGAGAAACUGCCUUGGCCUCAUUGUUUGCAGUUUCAUCGUUGUUCAUAGCCUGCUCUCAGUUUGAUUAAUAGAGAUUGAUCGCGCAUGCCACACUACUGAGCUUGAAGGCCUCUUGAGUCUUGAGGCGUCUAAAUGGUCAUAUAUAUCUUGCUCUCACAUGGCUAAACUCCGUGUUAACGAAAUUUUUUGCUCAAGGACACUUUAAGUAAAACAAAUCAGGAAUUUGGUUAUGGUCACUCUUUAAGUAAUUUUUAUUUAGAAAUUUGGUCAAGUUAGAUGAUAGUUCAUCUACAUCAAACUGCUACCCAAGCUAUUCUCCUCUCGAAACCGAACUUAUUGGAAUUGUCGUGGUUUGUGCAGAUUUCAGUUUCCAGAAGCCUCCACAUAACUGCUGCUGUGGCCCUAGUUGCUGCCUCCAUUGACAGUGCCUGAGAUGCCCGCUCGCUUAAAGCCUUUUGUGUUUCUCAGAACUAGUCUGUUAUGGUGGUCCUGUGUUAGCCUUUAUCUUUGCACUAGUUUCUUGUUUUCUAUCUUU
rnacentral:lncRNA from 1 species